UUCUCACUGGGGUGUGUUGGGGAACCAGGACUUUUACUUUGAAAAAAUUAGAGUGUUCAAAGCAGGCCUUUGCUCGAAUACGUUAGCAUGGAAUAAUAGAAUAGGACGUGCGGUCCUAUUUUGUUGGUUUCUAGGACCGCCGUAAUGAUUAAUAGGGACAGUCGGGGGCAUCAGUAUUCAAUUGUCAGAGGUGAAAUUCUUGGAUUUAUUGAAGACUAACUACUGCGAAAGCAUUUGCCAAGGAUGUUUUCAUUAAUCAGUGAACGAAAGUUAGGGGAUCGAAGACGAUCAGAUACCGUCGUAGUCUAACCGUAAACAUGCCGACUAGUCGU
rnacentral:rRNA from 1 species